rnacentral:lncRNA from 1 species
CAGCACGUGUGUUGGGAGGGGGCAGGUCAAUGGAUUCCUCCUGCCUCCUGACCCACCUCUAUUGAAGGUGGUUUUACCACCCCACCUCAGCUCCUUUGCCUCCAAGCGCAGUUCUACCAUCUUUUCUCAAUCUACCGCUUCAAACCGCCGCCGCCGAUCCACCCUUCGCAAACUCGCUUGAUUUUCGACCAUGAUCUGCCUCAGGCGUCGCUCUUCGACUUCGGCGAAGAAGAUGAAGAACGGUGUCGUAUCAAUGGCGUCGGACAUGUUCAAACCACAGAGAUCCGUCCUCUUCCCGCGGAUCCGUUCGCCUUGGAUCCCUCCAAUCGCCGGCGUUACUGCCGACAACGGAUCCGCCUCUUUGUACAUAACACAAUUGCUAGUUGAUAUCUAUUCAUGCCCCUUGUGUGUGGUCUGCAUCUAUUUAGAUUUGUAGAUCAUGUGUUUGUGUUCUGGAUAUUAAUAUACACCGUAAAAUAUGAUAAAUGCAUAAGCCUCGGGCUUCAUCGUAGCUUUGAUUUUGUCUUGUAAUACUGCGUAAGGUGAUUUUGUCCAACACUUUUUUGGUGGUGAGGCUGGAGACCCUGUUAUAAGGGUUUGUAAACAGUAACAUCUUAAUCAACCUUUUGGACCGGUGGAUAUGGAUUAGCAUUGCUUUAUCUUAAUAUCGCUUUGUUUCAUUUUGUUGGUUUGUUUUUAAUUGGAUGUGUAAAUUCAGGCUCACUCAAGCUGGUCG